GGUCCCGUGGCUCAGACUGGUUAGAGCACCUGACUGAUAAUCAGGGGGUCGCGAGUUCAAAUCUCGUCGGGACCA
rnacentral:tRNA from 1 species